UUUAAACACAACCGUAAGUUUUCGAGUUCAAUUUUGAUCGUCCAUCUUAUUUAAAAUUUUUUUUAUAAUUAGUAUUUUUUGUUGUUAUUAGAUGAUAAAACAUGAAUAGUACUCUAUAAGUGACUUAUGUUUUUUUUAAUUUUUUUAAAGAUUUUAGAUUUUCUCAAAUAAGACCGACGAUUAAAGUUAGAUACGGAAAUCUAUAGUUACGUUUAAA
rfam:Oryza sativa Japonica Group DNA, chromosome 6, cultivar: Nipponbare, complete sequence.